GCUGUGAAUGUGACUGUGUCUGCUGAGGCGGUAGCGUCCCAUGUGUCAUCGACGUUGUCACCAAAUCUCUCAUAGUGAAGGCUGAGGGAACUGAGAUGACAAAGACGUACAACUGUCUUCUUUGUCCAAAAGGAAACACACCGACAGAGGAAGCAGAGAUACAUCUGCCUGAGAAUGUGAUUGAAGGAUCUGCCCGCACUUCUGUAUCAGUCC